GGAAUGGCUGGCAAUUGAGAAAGCUGCAGAGAAGCGUUUGCUGUGACAUCUGGCUCUUAGACCCUCAGCAUUCCUCCCAGGAUGCCCACCCCUCUCUCCUGCUGUCUGAGGAGCUGGAAGCAGCCUCCUGGAUCCUCUGGGAGAACAAGGCAGCACGCGGCCAGGGAUGGACAAGACCAACAUUACUGCCGUAAUUCUAAAUGCCUGCAGCUUAAGAAAUCCACCACCGGAUUGAGGAGAAGGGAAAAAUAAGAAGAGGACAUUGCAUUUGGAGACCACGCCUUCUUUUUCCUAAGGAGGCUCUCUGCCGUGUCAGUCCUCCCGGUUCAGAACGUGGCUAUUCAAGCGUCUUAUUCUCACGGUGAACGUGUCCCAGUGGGCUGCUGGUGCCGUGCGUUAGCAGUGGGUUCACUUCCCCGGUCCUCACCUGUGGCUUGGGGAGAACCAGUUCAGACAGGUGGAGAGCCCAGCGGCCCCCACCCACCCCGCUCCCGCCCUCCGCACUCUGUUUACUGCCGCAGGCUGGCAGAAUAUACGGGCCCACGGUUGGGUAAAGGAGGUUGGUGGGGGGAGAGAAAAGCCAGCGUCAAGUAGAUUCUGUGCUCACGCCCUUCUCCUCUAGAAGAAUUUUCGUGGACGCCUUCCUCCUUCUUUCGGUCUUCUUUCUCUCAGACUGAGUAGGAGUUUGAAAUCGGGACAAUUCCUCACGCGUUUUGGACAGUUACCGUGUGGCCGGGCGACGUUCCAAUCAUCCAGGUGUGUCGUGUCAGUGGAUGGUUGUGGCGGCCUGGUGGUGGAGUUACUGAUAAAAAGGUUCAAGAGUUUCGUGGGAAUAAGGAAAAUGCUGUUGCUCGGGAGACGUAUGUGACUGGGGUCCUGUCUUUUGAUCAGCCGUCUUGAGUCUACUGCCUCUAUCGUCAUUGCCGAGUCCCCCCACCUGCCCCUUCCCCGCCUCCCCCUCCGCUCCCCCCACCAUCUCUCCUAACACCCUCCACCGCCAUGCCUCCCACCAGACGCUAAAUGUCAAAUGGAUGGGGAAGUCCGCAAAUAAAAAACAAAACCAAGAGCUGAGAUUUGUUUAUACACGAACAUCUUCUGCUUGAACUAGCUGGACAACUGAAGCUAACGUUUGCAUUAAUUUGGCCUUUUACGCUGUCUUCCUUACCCUCUCUUGUCCCAGUCUUUACAUGGGGAAUUGGGAGCCAGGUGGCUUAACUUUCCUUUAGUCUGGGGAAUUGCCUCAAGAGCUGGUCUAUGUGAGCCGUGGACCAAGUCCUGGGGCGCCUGGGUGGCUCAGUCGGUGGGGCGGCCGACUUCGGCUCAGGUCAUGAUCUCGCGGUCCGUGAGUUCGAGCCCCGCGUCGGGCUCUGUGCUGACGGCUCAGA